CGCACCACCCCGCCAUCGACCUCGCCCCCGGCCAACGGCCUCCUCCGUAUCCUUCUGACCCCAAGGCUGAGGUUGUUCCCGUCUAUCUCCCCUGUGUGUGCGUGUACAUCAUCGGCAAGCGUGAGGAGGGGUUGUCGUAGUUGCUUCUUCGCCUUCCCCCAUCUCACGUCCCCAUUGCCUUGCCACGUCUCUCACCUUGCCCCUCUCCAUGAUGCAUUGCAGAAGUAUUUCUGGAGGCCCUCGGCGCCGCAUUAGAUGUCGGAUGGUCUCGACCGGAUCCUGCUGCCCAACAAGGUAUUCAGGAGUUGGAGGAAAAGAGGAAGGAGAAGGACAAGAUCUCCUACGACAUGAGAAAGCAACUAGCGAAGCUCCGCGUCAAGGCUGAGAAGGCAGCCGAAAGAAGUUAGGAUCUCACCUGGAGAUCCUGGCCCCUAUCAAAUACUAAAGCUAUCGUGCGCCAUCAGUUUUGGGAAACCUCUGUCGUAUUUUAAGUAGUUUGGUAACUCUGAUAGUACAAUCUGGUUGGUGAACAUUUGUUAUGCAUGCAGUUCUGCGACACUCAUUUGAAAUUUUCUACAUGGCGAACUGUUUCAUUUAUCAAAUGUGUGCAUUUGGAAAUUCUAGUGGACGUCGUUUUUCUCUUUGCUAUGGCCUUUGCAGUCCCUUGUUAUGACCUAUCAUGGGAAAUUUUUAAGCGUGUUUUCCCUUUGUACAUGUCGUUUUGGGCCAUCAUAGUUGUCUCUACACCAAGUUGGUAAAGUCUACUUUCACUGCGGCAAGUUCCAUUUGAGCUCUGUAUGUUUAAUGUACAUCGCAUGUGUGUGUUUGAUGUUGAUGUCGCUUGUGGUUUUGCAGGGUUCUGAGGCUGCAGCCUGGGCACAGGUACUGCCUCCUCGGCCAGCUCUCCAAGGAGGUUGGAUGGAACUACGCUCACACCACCAGAUCUGUAGAAGCUGCCGCUGCCGUUGCCGCUGUUGCAGGUGGAACAGGAAGAAGCCGUCAUGGCUGCUGCACAUCCGAAGUGGCGAGCGCCACCCCAUUUUUUUGGUACUAUGAAGUGUUAGUUGGGCUGCGACUUGAUGGUCAUGCUGCUGUUUUGCUCUGCUUGAUAAUUCCAAUCAGAUCAUUGUCCACACUAUCAUCAUCAGUUUAUGUACAGAAGAUCUAAUGUUGUUGAGGAUGCUGGUGCUACGACAGAAGAUCAAGGAAGCCUCGAGAUGUGCACCAUAGUUUUAGUUGAUGUUGCUAGUUUGCCACCAUGUUUUGAAUAUUUGAUGUUGUUGAUGUUGCUACUUUGCCACCGUGUAUAUGCUGUUGGACAUGCAAACAUGUAUGUGAUGUUGUGAAUAUUUGAGCGAAUGAUUCUGUAUUUAAUAAUUUAAUAGAGAAUUAUUUAUU